UAUUUUCUCAGGAAAAAAUAUUUUUUUAAGUUUUGGAAGCUGCAAUGAAAUAAUAUUUUAGAUCCAACAAAUAAUUCAUCUCUCCAGCAGAGCCCAGGAACCUCAAGCAGAAGAGACCAGCAAGGCCAUGAGGAUGCAUACAGAAGAUGUCUAGCUUGGUGGUCCUGGGCCGUGGCAGGAAAGUCAGAGCUGAAACUUGUGGCCAAGGAUGAAGCCUGACAUGGUGUCAUCUUUUCUUACAAUCUGCUCUGGGAACUUCACCUCUGGAAUCACUCUUGGGGUAAGUCAAUAGAGAUGGCCAUCAUUGCCAGAAGGCCCAAGGUAGCCAUUUGAAUAUUCCUACAGGAGGAUGAGUGGUACCAU
rnacentral:lncRNA from 1 species